rnacentral:lncRNA from 1 species
GCCAGGGAGGGGGAUACUCGCCAUGGAUGAAUCCAACGCCACCUGCGGCAAAAGACUCGCAUCAAUUGGGCUGGAGAACACAGAGGCAAACCGACAAGCUUACAGGACCCUCCUUGUCUCAGCUCCUGGUCUGGGCCAGUACAUCUCUGGGGCAAUCCUGUUCGAGGAAACUCUCUACCAGUCAACUACGGAUGGUAAGAAGAUGGUCGAUGUUCUUGUUGAGCAAAAGAUAGCGCCAGGGAUCAAAGUUGACAAGGUGAGCACUCGAUCUUUGGCAACACGUAUGGAAUUGUCAUAUUGUUUUACUCACAUCUAGGAUUGUGUUCUACUUCCAUCCUGUUUGUGUUAUCAGGGUCUGGUGCCACUUACUGGCUCAAAUGAUGAAUCAUGGUGCCAAGGAUUGGAUGGCCUCGCGUCGCGAUGUGCAGCAUACUAUCAACAGGGAGCUCGCUUUGCUAAAUGGUAAGAUACACUGUUGCAUCCUGGAAUUUAAUUGUGUGCAUGUUUGGAGGCCAUGCUUAUGUCCGGCUUGUUGCAGGCGUACAGUGGUCAGCAUUCCAAACGGCCCAUCAGCUCUCGCAGUGAAGGAAGCUGCUUGGGGUCUGGCUCGAUACGCUGCCAUUGCUCAAGUACAUCUCCUUCACUUCCAUUCUUUCAUCAUUAUAGGAUCAGUGAAUACAACUCCUUUCAGUAUGCACACGCUACGAGCAGAAAGCAGCCUCGACUAAUCUUCUCGUCUUGUUUGCAGGACAAUGGCCUGGUUCCAAUUGUGGAGCCUGAGAUACUGCUCGACGGAGAGCACGGGAUCGAUAGGACGUUUGAGGUCGCACAGAAAGUUUGGGCUGAGGUCUUCUUUUACUUGGCUGAGAACAACGUCAUGUUCGAAGGUAUCCUCCUCAAGCCAAGCAUGGUCACCCCCGGCGCCGAGUGCAAAGAGAAGGCCACACCGGAGCAGGUCGCCGACUACACCCUGAAGCUCCUGCACAGAAGAGUCCCAUCUGCUGUUCCUGGCAUUAUGGUACGCAGCACCACCAUGAUCAUCUUGUUCGCUUCUCUCAUAGAGGUGAUGAUUGAUGCCCAUUCACCUGUAAAUGUUUUGGCGAACAGUUCCUCUCCGGUGGACAGUCGGAAGUGGAGGCAACCCUGAACCUGAAUGCCAUGAACCAGAGCCCCAACCCAUGGCACGUCUCCUUCUCUUACGCGAGAGCUCUGCAGAACACCUGCCUGAAGACAUGGGGAGGAAGACCGGAGAACGUGAAGGCUGCGCAGGAUGUGCUCCUAGUCCGGGCCAAGGCCAACUCGCUCGCUCAGCUCGGGAAGUACUCAGCCGAGGGCGAAGCUGCAGAAGCUAAAGAGGGGAUGUACGUCAAGAACUACAGCUACUGAGAACCCAGCAAAGCAUGAUAUCUUCUAUAUCUCUGUGGAUUUUGAUUACCGGUCUGUUCAAGGAAGACGACGAUCGAUGUAGUUGAAUGUUUAAGCCUGCAUAAGACUGCAUUUGGUAUUAAGUAUCGAUUGAAUACAGCUUGUUAGCUGCGUCUGUUGCAAA